rnacentral:rRNA from 1 species
CUUGAGUGGAUCCUGAGUACGACGGAGCACGUGAAAUUCCGUCGGAAUCUGGGAGGACCAUCUCCUAAGGCUAAAUACUCUCUAGUGACCGAUAGUGAACCAGUACCGUGAGGGAAAGGUGAAAAGCACCCCGGAAGGGGAGUGAAAUAGAACCUGAAACCGUGUGCUUACAAGUAGUCAGAGCCCGUUAAUGGGUGAUGGCGUGCCUUUUGUAGAAUGAACCGGCGAGUUACGAUUUGAUGCAAGGUUAAGCAGUAAAUGUGGAGCCGUAGCGAAAGCGAGUCUGAAUAGGGCGUUUAGUAUUUGGUCGUAGACCCGAAACCAGGUGAUCUACCCUUGGUCAGGUUGAAGUUCAGGUAACACUGAAUGGAGGACCGAACCGACUUACGUUGAAAAGUGAGCGGAUGAACUGAGGGUAGCGGAGAAAUUCCAAUCGAACCUGGAGAUAGCUGGUUCUCUCCGAAAUAGCUUUAGGGCUAGCCUCAAGUGAUGAUUAUUGGAGGUAGAGCACUGUUUGGACGAGGGGCCCCUCUCGGGUUACCGAAUUCAGACAAACUCCGAAUGCCAAUUAAUUUAACUUGGGAGUCAGAACAUGGGUGAUAAGGUCCGUGUUCGAAAGGGAAACAGCCCAGACCACCAGCUAAGGUCCCAAAAUAUAUGUUAAGUGGAAAAGGAUGUGGCGUUGCCCAGACAACUAGGAUGUUGGCUUAGAAGCAGCCAUCAUUUAAAGAGUGCGUAAUAGCUCACUAGUCGAGUGACACUGCGCCGAAAAUGUACCGGGGCUAAACAUAUUACCGAAGCUGUGGAUUGUCCUUUGGACAAUGGUAGGAGAGCGUUCUAAGGGCGUUGAAGCAUGAUCGUAAGGACAUGUGGAGCGCUUAGAAGUGAGAAUGCCGGUGUGAGUAGCGAAAGACGGGUGAGAAUCCCGUCCACCGAUUGACUAAGGUUUCCAGAGGAAGGCUCGUCCGCUCUGGGUUAGUCGGGUCCUAAGCUGAGGCCGACAGGCGUAGGCGAUGGAUAACAGGUUGAUAUUCCUGUACCACCUAUAAUCGUUUUAAUCGAUGGGGGGACGCAGUAGGAUAGGCGAAGCGUGCGAUUGGAUUGCACGUCUAAGCAGUAAGGCUGAGUAUUAGGCAAAUCCGGUACUCAUUAAGGCUGAGCUGUGAUGGGGAGAAGACAUUGUGUCUUCGAGUCGUUGAUUUCACACUGCCGAGAAAAGCCUCUAGAUAGAAAAUAGGUGCCCGUACCGCAAACCGACACAGGUAGUCAAGAUGAGAAUUCUAAGGUGAGCGAGCGAACUCUCGUUAAGGAACUCGGCAAAAUGACCCCGUAACUUCGGGAGAAGGGGUGCUCUUUAGGGUUAACGCCCAGAAGAGCCGCAGUGAAUAGGCCCAAGCGACUGUUUAUCAAAAACACAGGUCUCUGCUAAACCGUAAGGUGAUGUAUAGGGGCUGACGCCUGCCCGGUGCUGGAAGGUUAAGAGGAGUGGUUAGCUUCUGCGAAGCUACGAAUCGAAGCCCCAGUAAACGGCGGCCGUAACUAUAACGGUCCUAAGGUAGCGAAAUUCCUUGUCGGGUAAGUUCCGACCCGCACGAAAGGCGUAACGAUUUGGGCACUGUCUCAACGAGAGACUCGGUGAAAUCAUAGUACCUGUGAAGAUGCAGGUUACCCGCGACAGGACGGAAAGACCCCGUGGAGCUUUACUGUAGCCUGAUAUUGAAAUUCGGCACAGCUUGUACAGGAUAGGUAGGAGCCUUUGAAACGUGAGCGCUAGCUUACGUGGAGGCGCUGGUGGGAUACUACCCUAGCUGUGUUGGCUUUCUAACCCGCACCACUUAUCGUGGUGGGAGACAGUGUCAGGCGGGCAGUUUGACUGGGGCGGUCGCCUCCUAAAAGGUAACGGAGGCGCUCAAAGGUUCCCUCAGAAUGGUUGGAAAUCAUUCAUAGAGUGUAAAGGCAUAAGGGAGCUUGACUGCGAGACCUACAAGUCGAGCAGGGUCGAAAGACGGACUUAGUGAUCCGGUGGUUCCGCAUGGAAGGGCCAUCGCUCAACGGAUAAAAGCUACCCCGGGGAUAACAGGCUUAUCUCCCCCAAGAGUUCACAUCGACGGGGAGGUUUGGCACCUCGAUGUCGGCUCAUCGCAUCCUGGGGCUGUAGUCGGUCCCAAGGGUUGGGCUGUUCGCCCAUUAAAGCGGUACGCGAGCUGGGUUCAGAACGUCGUGAGACAGUUCGGUCCCUAUCCGUCGUGGGCGUAGGAAAUUUGAGAGGAGCUGUCCUUAGUACGAGAGGACCGGGAUGGACAUACCUCUGGUGUACCAGUUGUCGUGCCAACGGCAUAGCUGGGUAGCUAUGUGUGGACGGGAUAAGUGCUGAAAGCAUCUAAGCAUGAAGCCCCCCUCAAGAUGAGAUUUCCCAACUUCGGUUAUAAGAUCCCUCAAAGAUGAUGAGGUUAAUAGGUUCGAGGUGGAAGCAUGGUGACAUGUGGAGCUGACGAAUACUAA